rnacentral:rRNA from 1 species
AUCUGGGCGGCGGAAUUCAGGAUGGCGAGCGCGUUCUCGCGACGCGUUCGUCGUUUGAUAUUUCCGUCGCCGAUCUAACAAGCAGACGUCGCGACCUGUUCGCGGUCGGUCCCUGCUCGGAGGAGCCGCGUUCGAGUUUGUUGUGUGCGCGUUUACGCGCGUCACACGGCGAAGACGCGGAUCUCUGGCUGGCCGACGGACAGUACGUUAAAUGGUGUCCGAUGUCGCCGUCUCGUACGCGCGCGCAUCGGUACCGGUCGGCGACGAAUUCUUCGGGCCUCUUUCCGACCCGUCUUGAAACACGGACCAAGGAGUCUAACAUGCGCGCGAGUCGCGGGGUGUCGAGCGUACCACGGUGCGUUCGUUACGUAACGAAACCCGUACAUGUCGAAGGCGUAAUGAAAGUAAAUGGGGAAGAUGGUGUUCCGAGUACACGUUCCGCGGUCAUUGGUACCGCGGCCGGAAACCCGCAUUCCCGGGGCGUCUCUACGGCCCGUCGCGGAUGCGGACGGUCGUCUUUCGGGAUGGCCGUCGGUCUGCGACGAACCGA